AAGCAUGUGAUAAAAUUCUUUGCUAAACUGGGGCCUAAGUCAGUGUGAUCUUAGGGUGGAACUCAAAUAACUGCUCUUGCAGGAGGGAGAACGGGCACAAGAACGGAGCCAAAGGUUCUCCUGGGGUGAUGGGCUGGGGUGAGCGGCAAGAGCCCAAACAAAUGGGAAAACGGCGUGAUCCGAGAGAAGGAGGGAUUGUAUGACUGGCUCCGUGGCUACGGCUUGGGAGGAGGAAAUUCCUCGUGGGAACGUUGCCAGGAGGCCCACGAGCAAAAGUUGAAGUUGUGUUUCCAGUCUAGAGGAGCAACGUUGAAUCAGUGCUCUCUGCAGCACAGCUCCAGGUUGUCUCACCCGCCUGUUUGAACCUGGUGUUCUUUCCCAGUUUGUAUGUUAAGAGCUACAGGGACAUUCUUACUGGUAAUCCUCAUAGAAUGCCUUGCCCAGGGGGACUGGUGAACCUCCUCGUACUAACUGAAUACACAUAGAAAGACCUUGCCAUUGCCACCCAAAUUAAUGGGUAGGAAGACACAAUGUGUGCAUUAAAUCAUACUUAGCAGCCCAAAGGAUUAAUCGCCCUGUUCACAUAAGGGCUAGUGGAGGAAAAGAAGCUUUCAAAGGGUUUAAGUUUUGGCCCCAUCACUUUGCUGUGCAUCUGGCCCUCCCACACCGUCUGGUUUGAUGUAAGUCUCUCCCACAGGGACUCUGUGUGCUCAGAGCCCUCCACUUCCACUCGCUAUCCGCAGGCAGAGAUGUGUGUAAGUGCUAUACAUCACCAGCCUGCGCUUUCCAACAAAUUAGCAGAAAUACCCUGGUAUUACAUUUGCUGUGAUCUGCCUGUCAAUCAAGGAGACUCUCAUGGUCCUUUCUGUUAUUCAUACCAGGAUUGCAGCCAUCCGCUACUUGCUACUAAUACUGGAGUCUCUGCCCAUGACGACUGACGGAAGCAUCCAGCUGGUAACAUCUCACAAAGAAACCCUGGGCUUGGUCUCCCCCCUGCCUGGAGUGGCUGCAACAGCAGCCAGCAGCAGGGGGGCUAGAUCAUAAAAAGUGCACUAUAAAUAAACCAUCUUAGCACCAAGGUUGAUACAAAAAGCCAU